UGGGGAAUAUUGCACAAUGGGCGAAAGCCUGAUGCAGCAACGCCGCGUGAGUGAUGAAGGUCUUCGGAUUGUAAAGCUCUGUCUUUUGGGACGAUAAUGACGGUACCAAAGGAGGAAGCCACGGCUAACUACGUGCCAGCAGCCGCGGUAAUACGUAGGUGGCGAGCGUUGUCCGGAUUUACUGGGCGUAAAGGGUGCGUAGGCGGAUGUUUAAGUGAGAUGUGAAAUACCCGGGCUUAACUUGGGUGCUGCAUUUCAAACUGGAUAUCUAGAGUGCAGGAGAGGAGAAUGGAAUUCCUAGUGUAGCGGUGAAAUGCGUAGAGAUUAGGAAGAACACCAGUGGCGAAGGCGAUUCUCUGGACUGUAACUGACGCUGAGGCACGAAAGCGUGGGUAGCAAACAGGAUUAGAUACCCUGGUAGUCCACGCCGUAAACGAUGAGUAGCUAGG
rnacentral:rRNA from 1 species